AAGCAAGUUCUUCAAAACUAGGACUAAACUGUUAAGUACGCAGGCGUCAAAUCUCGGAGUACAACCGCAAAAAGCUUUUGCCAUUUUCAACAAUUUGCCAUAUAAUAAUACCUUAAGCCACUAACUCACAUAGUGGUAAAUGUAAAGUGAGAGACCGACCGCCAACACGGAGUAUAUUAACAGAGUAUUGCGCAUUCAAAAGUCUAUUGACAAGUGAUACCCGCGGAAACGGAUACGUCCCCUAACAUUGUAGAAGCACUGGUCACAACAGGGAUAUACCGCUGCCGUACAGCUAUGUUUGUCAGAGCAUUCUUCACGCUUACGUCACUUUUAGCUCUUUUCAGCAUUACCAGAGGUGAGUACUCAAUAUUUCCUACAGCAACGGAACCUCUGCGAGAGCCUAAAGACCCCAGCUACUUAAAACCUUCUCUGACCGCACCUCCGCAACCUCCCUACCACCUUCAGGAGACAACCAUCCCCACCCC